AAGACACAAAACCGGGUAGAACGGGAAGAUAAAAGCAACCUACAUCAAAUAUGAAGUGAUAAGGUGAYCCAGAAAAGGCUUUUUAUAUUUUAAUUUUGGAAAAAUACAAAACUACAUAACCCUGACCCUAACCCAUUUUUACAUCUAAAAUGACGUUUUGGCUCUUGAACGUUGCAUCAACACCAACUCGGUAUAUUCAAAAUAACUACAAAAUAGUGAUGGAAACGGGUUACUCAAAAGAAAAGCUGCAGACACCGGUGGAAAGAAAACAACUCCAGGAAUAUUAUAUUAUCAGAGGAAGCUACGUCAUAGCUGCUGUGUGUUGGUGUGUCGUUCACUAGCGCUUGGAUUCCUUUGAACGACUAUCUAAGACUGAACCGUUGCAGAUGAGCUGUGUGUUUGUCGGAGGUCAGACCUGGUGUGCUGCUGCAGGUGGGAGAGCUGGCGGAAGCAUCUUUCACAGUAAGAGCAGCGGUACGGCUUGAGGCCCAGGUGGAUGCGCAGAUGCUGGGCCAGGUUUUGCCCUCCUUAGCGGUGAUGGUGACGCAGGACUGGUCGUUGCCCGAGGCCAGGAUCGGGUACGGAACCACCAAAAGCGACG